GGACUACAAGGGUAUCUAAUCCUGUUUGCUCCCCACGCUAUCGCGCCUCAGUGUCAGAACUGGUCUAGCUGGCCGCCUUCGCCACGAGUGUUCUCCCCCAUCUCUACGCAUUUCACCGCUACACGGGGAAUUCCACCAGCCCCUCCCAGCCUCAAGUCCUGCAGUUUCUACCGACCUAACACGGUUGAGCCGUGUGCUUUCACGGUAGACAUACAAGACCACCUACGCGCCCUUUACGCCCAAUGAUUCCGAACAACGCUAGCCCCUUCCGUAUUACCGCGGCUGCUGGCAC
rnacentral:rRNA from 1 species